rnacentral:rRNA from 1 species
GAGCAACCUGCCUUGCAGAGGGGGGAUUAACACAGGGGAAACUUGUGCUAAUACCGCAUGAUGCAUACGGACCGCAUGAUCUGUAUGCCAAAGGAGCAAUCCGCUGUAAGAUGGGCUCGCGUCCGAUUAGGUAGUUUGGUGAGGUAAACGGGCCCCACCCAAGCCGACGAUCGGUAGCCGGACUGAGAGGUCGAACGGGCCACAUUGGAACUGAGAUACGGUCCAGACUCCUACGGGAGGCAGCAGUGGGGAAUAUUGGGCAAUGGGCGAAAGCCUGACCCAGCGACGCCGCGUGAGGGAAGAAGGUCUUCGGAUUGUAAACCUUUGUCAUCAGGAACGAAGAAAUGACGGUACCUGAGAAGGAAGCCACGGCUAACUACGUGCC